rnacentral:tRNA from 1 species
GGAGGAGUGGCCGAGUGGUCGAAGGCAGCGGUUUUGAAAACCGCCGUGGGCACCGCCCACCGGGGGUUCGAAUCCCUCCUCCUCCG